GCGAGCGUGGCGGAACUGGUAGACGCAAGCGACUUAAAAUCGCUCGACCUCGGUCGUGCGGGUUCGAUUCCCGCCGCUCGCACCA
rnacentral:tRNA from 4 species